UACGAAGGGGGCUAGCGUUGCUCGGAAUCACUGGGCGUAAAGCGCACGUAGGUGGGUCGUUAAGUCGGGGGUGAAAUCCUGGAGCUCAACUCCAGAACUGCCUUCGAUACUGGCGGUCUUGGAGUCCGGGAGAGGGAUGUGGAAUUCCAGGUGUAGCGGUGAAAUGCGUAGAUAUCUGGAGGAACACCGGUGGCGAAGGCGGCAUCCUGGACCGGUAUUGACGCUGAGGCGCGAAAGCUAGGGGAGCAAACGGG
rnacentral:rRNA from 1 species